GGCCUUGUGGUCCAGAGGCAAGAUGCUUGCUUUGGGCUCUGUAGUAAUGCAACUGCAAGCGACCUGGGUUCGAUUCCCAGCAGGGCCC